AUUGAACGCUGGCGGCAGGCUUAACACAUGCAAGUCGAGCGGAGAUGAGGUGCUUGCACCUUAUCUUAGCGGCGGACGGGUGAGUAAUGCUUAGGAAUCUGCCUAUUAGUGGGGGACAACAUUCCGAAAGGAAUGCUAAUACCGCAUACGUCCUACGGGAGAAAGCAGGGGAUCUUCGGACCUUGCGCUAAUAGAUGAGCCUAAGUCGGAUUAGCUAGUUGGUGGGGUAAAGGUCUACCAAGGCGACGAUCUGUAGCGGGUCUGAGAGGAUGAGCCGCCACACUGGGACUGAGACACGGCCCAGACUCCUACGGGAGGCAGCAGUGGGGAAUAUUGGACAAUGGGGGGAACCCUGAUCCAGCCAUGCCGCGUGUGUGAAGAAGGCCUUAUGGUUGUAAAGCACUUUAAGCGAGGAGGAGGCUACUGAGACUAAUACUCUUGGAUAGUGGACGUUACUCGCAGAAUAAGCACCGGCUAACUCUGUGCCAGCAGCCGCCGUAA
rnacentral:rRNA from 1 species